GACGAACGCUGGCGGCGUGCUUAACACAUGCAAGUCGAACGGAAAGGCCCUGCGUGGUACGCGUGUGGGAAACGGGAGAGUGAGAGGUGGGUGUGAGUCCCCUCACUUUGAGAUAAGCAUGGGUUACUGGGACUAAUACUGAUAAGGACCAGGCGCUUCUGGUGGAGGGGGGGGAAGGGAAUGUUUCGGCGGUUGGGGCUGGACCCGCGGCGUAUCAGCUUGUUGGUGGGGUAGUGGAAUACCAAGGCGUGGACGGGUAGCCGGCCUGAGAGGGUGACCGGCCACAUUGGGACUGAGAUACGGCCCAGACUCCUACGGGAGGCAGCAGUGGGGAAUAUUGCACAAUGGGCGCAAGCCUGAUGCAGCAACGCCGCGUGCGGGAUGACGGCCUUCGGGUUGUAAACCUCUUUCGCCUGGGACGAAGCGUGAGUGACGGUAAUUGGUGAAGAAGCACCGGCCAACUACGUG
rnacentral:rRNA from 1 species